rnacentral:rRNA from 1 species
UACGGGGGAUGCAAGCGUUAUCCGGAUUUAUUGGGUUUAAAGGGUGCGUAGGCUGUGAGGUAAGUCAGCGGUGAAAUGCUCCCGCUCAACGGGGUGAAGUGCCAUUGAUACUGCCUUGCUGGAAUGCGGAUGCCGUGGGAGGAAUGUGUGGUGUAGCGGUGAAAUGCAUAGAUAUCACACAGAACACCGAUUGCGAAGGCAUCUCACGAAUCCGCGAUUGACGCUGAUGCACGAAAGCGUGGGUAUCAAACAGG